rnacentral:rRNA from 1 species
GAUGAACGCUAGCUACAGGCUUAACACAUGCAAGUCGAGGGGUAACGAGAGGAAAGCUUGCUUUCCUUGUUGACGACCGGCGCACGGGUGAGUAACGCGUAUCCAACCUGCCCCCAACUAGGGAAUAACCUUGCGAAAGUAAGACUAAUACCCUAUAAUUUCCUCAGAUGUCAUCUGACGAGGAAUAAAGAUUUAUCGGUUGUGGAUGGGGAUGCGUCUGAUUAGCUUGUUGGCGGGGUAACGGCCCACCAAGGCAACGAUCAGUAGGGGUUCUGAGAGGAAGGUCACCCACAUUGGAACUGAGACCCGGUCCAAACGCCUACGGGAGGCAGCAGUGAGGAAUAUUGGUCAAUGGGCGGAAGCUUGAACCAGCCAAGUAGCGUGCAGGAUGACGGCCCUAUGGGUUGUAAACUGCUUUUAUACAGGAAUAAAGUUAGCCACGUGUGGUUAUUUGUAGGUACUGUAUGAAUAAGGACCGGCUAAUUCCGUGCCAGCCGCCGCGGUAA